UGGGGUGUAGCUCAGUGGUAGAGCACUUGCCCAACAUGCGUGAGCCCCUGGGUUCUAGUCCCAGCACCAAAA
rnacentral:tRNA from 1 species